GUCUGUAUAGUAUAGUGGUUAGUAUGUCUGCUUGGAAAAGUCAUGUGAUAUUAAUGGAAAUCUUUUUAAAAUCUUGGGUUCAAUUCCCAUAUCAGCCG